rnacentral:rRNA from 1 species
UACGGAGUGUGCAAGCGUUACUCGGAAUCACUGGGCUUAAAGGGCGCGUAGGCGGGUGGUCAAGUCAGGGGUGAAAUCUUUCAGCUUAACUGGAAAACAGCCUUUGAUACUGGCCGCCUGGAGGGGGGUAGGGGCAUGUGGAACUUCCGGUGGAGCGGUGAAAUGCGUAGAUAUCGGAAGGAACGCCGGUGGCGAAGGCGGUUCUCUGGGCAUUACCUGACGCUGAGGAGCGAAAGUGUGGGGAGCGAACAGG